GCAGACGACAUGAUCUAGCAUACUCUCACUCCUGCACUACUCCCGGACAUCGGAACCGAAUGCAGUCUGAAGUAUUCUGCAACCUAGCAACUCUUUAGAAUACACAUUGUUUGCUUGGCGAAACAUGUAUUUGAUCUGUAUAAUCCCAGGUAAUUGCUGAUAUCGAUGCAGAUGUUAAUCCAUAAGAGAAAAAAAGUUACCACCAUUAAUACACCCAUAAUUACCAUACUGCAAAGCCUAACGAAAGAAAAUUAUUAUAUUAUUAUCUUUAAGACUAAGUUUGUGUGACACCAAUAAUAAUGAAAACGAAUGAAUAAAACGAAGAAAGAAAAAGGAAUGAAAUAAAUAAUUAUUUAGUAUCCAUAUUUUCUUUAUUAUCCUCUAUAUAAUAAUAUAUAAUCAAACAGAUUAUAAAAGUACAAAAUAACACACAUAUACAUAAUGUAUAUAUAUAUAUAUAUAUAUAUAUAUAUAUAUAUAUAUAUAUAUAUAUAUUAUUUUACAAAAGAAUAUCUGGAAUAUCCAUUGUAUCCAAUCAGAAAAUUAAGAUUAAAUUUUUAUUUUCUAUUUAGAUAAGAAUCGAUCCUCUAAAAUGCUUCACGAAUACAUUAAUACAUAAUACAACUGGUGGAAUGUAUAAACUUUUGAUGGCCAUGUACAAUGCCAAAGUUGGUACGUACAUACUUAGUUAGAGCUUGUAUCCCAUGGGAGCAGGGUUCUAGUGAUUUACCAUAUAUCUUCGGAGUUCAUGGGGAGUUCAUGGUGGUAUACACAUUUAAUAGAGAUCGCAUUUACAGCUGUAUAAAUCAAACUUUAGAUAUACUGAACAUACUCGUGUCAUAUUCAGAUAUCACCAAUACAUUGCUUUGUCUUGUUGCUAUAUUUCAUUUAAAUCGGUAUUUGAACAUGUGGUUGGAAUAUGUAUUUUAUACUGUAUUGUUAGUAAAUAAAAAGACAACAAGAUAUUUAUUUCAUUGUCCGAUGCAUUAUAUAUUUUAAAAAAUUUAAAAUUUUUUAAACUAAACAUAGAGACUAAAAAGCUUUUCUCCUUUACGCGUUCCUAACUUUUCUAGAUAAAUUUUAUCGCAGUUUAUUUUAUAGGAAAAGGUCAAAGGGCUUUGAACCGGCGAAUUAGCGAGAGAAAAUCGUUGGAAGCGUUUAAUCUCCCAGCCAACUCGUUAAUUUAAGAAAUAAGAAGGGAGAUAAGUUUUUCUUUUCUGUAUCUUGAUGAAUUUCUCGUGUAACAAAAAAUUUCUACGGUUCGUGAAACUCGAAAGUAAAUGAAAAAAAAUUUUUAACCUCGUUCUAAUUAAUGAAAUGUUAUUUAAAUUCAAAUAAUUCAAUUUAUCUUGCGUCAAAAAUGGUGAUAUUUUUUGGAAUGUCUGCAAAAUGAUAAUAUAACACUUAUGAAGGAAUAAUUUUAGAGAUUAAAAAACAAAAGUAAAUACAAAUAUUUAAAAAAUGUUAGUGUAUCAAUUAAGAAAAUAUAUCUUAUUUCUUGUAUUAUUAUAAUAUUUAUAUAUAAAAUAAAUUUGUUAAAUUUAUAAAAAUCAUUGCAACAAUAUUUUCAUAAUAUAAUGAUAAGUGAGAUUAAUAAAUUUUUAAUAACUAAAUUUUUUAAUAAAUUUUUAAUAAAUUAAAAAUAUUUAAAAAAAACACAAAAAUUGAUAUAUAAAAAAAUCGAUUUAGAUUUAUUUAUUAAAUUAUAAACAAUUUAAAUUUUUUAUAUUUUUAAAUGAAACGAAAUAAAAUUGACUUUCAAAAUGUUCUAAAAGUAUUUCAUGAAUAUAUUAAUAUUCUAUAUAAUAAUAAGAAAAAUUUUAUAAAGAAUUAAAGUACGAACACAUAUUUUUAUCUCAUUUCAUCAUAUAUUAUAUUUUCAUCAUAUUUCAAUGUAUGUUUCGUAUACAAAUAUUAUAUUUAUAAUUAAAGAAAAAUAUAAAAAUACAAAAAAAUAUAAAA